CUCCAGCUGCUUUUGUACUACAAUUCCCAUCAUCCCUGGCCACUGGUCCAGCUAGCUAGGGAUGAUGGGAGUUGUAGUCCAACAACAGCUGGAG
rnacentral:miRNA from 1 species